UGCAAGCCGAGCGGUAUUGUUUCUCGGAAAUGAGAGAGCGGCGUACGGGUGCGGAACACGUGUGCAACCUGCCUUUAUCUGGGGGAUAGCCUUUCGAAAGGAAGAUUAAUACUCCAUAAUAUAUUGAAACGGCAUCGUUUAAUAUUGAAAGCUCCGGCGGAUAGAGAUGGGCACGCGCAAGAUUAGCUAGUUGGUGAGGUAACGGCUCACCAAGGCAAUGAUCUUUAGGGGGCCUGAGAGGGUGAUCCCCCACACUGGUACUGAGACACGGACCAGACUCCUACGGGAGGCAGCAGUGAGGAAUAUUGGUCAAUGGGUGCAAGCCUGAACCAGCCAUCCCGCGUGAAGGACGACUGCCCUAUGGGUUGUAAACUUCUUUUGUAUAGGGAUAAACCUUUCCACGUGUGGAAAGCUGAAGGUACUAUACGAAUAAGCACCGGCUAACUCCGUG
rnacentral:rRNA from 1 species